rnacentral:lncRNA from 1 species
UGUCAAAGAAGCAAUAAGCCUUCCUCCAGUACAAAGGGUCACAGGAAAAAAAGCUGGACCAAACUCUGAAAUUCACUGAUGAAUAAGAAGAUAAGAGAAGAAUGAGGAUGCUUUUUUCUCUCUUCAUGACAGAUCUUCAAGGUAAUUUGCCAACCAUAUUAGACAGAGGAGCAGGGGAACAGCACAGCAAUACAUCAUGAUCUAUCCACAAUGAUUGAAUUGAGGGAAAAUUCAUUUCUGUUGACUCAAGUACAGGCUGCUGAAAAGAUUCUCAAGGUGAUUUAUACAGAAGUACCCUUUGCUUGGUGAAACAGGUGUAUUUGUGAAGUGUUGUGUGUGUUGCUUGAUAAUGUUUUUGAAAUCCCCAAGAAAAAAAUCAUUAUAUGAAACAAUCCUUACUGAAUAAUUCCUAGUAAAACUAAUGAGAUGAUAGAACGUAUUCUUUCUGUACUCUGUAUGUUCAUCCAUUAGAAAAGUAAAAGGCAGCAUGGGCACUGUGGCUCAAGCCUGUAAUCCCAGCACUUUGGGAGGGCGAGGCGGAUGGAUCACUAGAGGUCAGGAGUUCAAGACCAGCCUGGCCAAAUUGGUGAAACCCUGUUCUACUAAAAAUACAAAAAUUAGCUGGGUAUAGUGGCACACACCUAUAAUCCCAGCUACUCAGGAGGCUGAGGCAGGAGAAUUGCUUGAACCUGGGGGGACGGAGGUUGCAGUGAGCUGAGAUCACACUGCUGUACUCCAGCCCAGGUGACAGAGUGAGACCCUGUCUCAAAAAAAAAAAAAAAAGAGUAAAGUAAAAUACAGAACAGUAGUAAAAAGGACAAUAUAGCAUUGCUUAACGAUUACACCAAAGAUUCCUUCCAUGUUGCCAUUCAGUCCCUGCUAACACGGAGUUCUUCCAGAGCACCAACACAAUCUCAUCUUGCUUUACAAGUGAAAUGCAAAUUUUGCAACAUGAGGUGAACCAGACUAAAUAAGCCUAAUUUCCUCAGCCUUCUGUAACAGGGUUCUUACCUGGGUUUUUCCCAUGAGCUCCCUGACUCUAAAGUCAGCUUAGGUGCCUCCAUGGUAAAUCUAUGCAUUACGAUACUUAAAGAGGUUCCUGAACUCAGCUCUUUACAUAAGAAUGACUGAAUAAAGAAUAACUGAGCCAAUAGUGAGAACUAUGCUCAAUUCAUCAAGGUAAGACCAUAAAGAUAUGUAGACUGUUCUGGAAUAAGAGUGGCCUUCCUCCUCUCUGUGGUUCUGCUGAUAACCCUUAACCCAUGAACCUAAGGAAAUAAUUUUGACCACUGCCUAAUAGGUUGUCUGGCACAUAGUAAAUCCUUAACAAACACUUGUGGAAAUCAUUAAUGACACUCUUUUUGUGCAUCCUACUCUGGCCUACCCACGUGGUCUACACUGUGAUACCUACAUCUUGCUUAGGGUCCCAAUUACUUAAAUGAGUUCAUAUUAACCAACUCUGUAAAAUAAUGUCUGGCGCAUUUAAGCACGUUAUAGAUGCAAUUAAAUAUGAUCAAAUAAAUAUAUAUAAAUUAAAUAUUACUCACUUAAUGUUUAGUAUUAAGGGCUGAAUCUGAACGUGACACUUGGUUUCUACGGAAGGCCUUGCUUUUCCCCACUAUGUGUUUUGGGAUGUCUGCCAGUUUUCUUGUUAACCUGGGGAGUGACUAUGAGAUAUUGAUGUUCACUUUCUGUCUAGCUUGAGUUCUCUGCCUCGUAUCUGGGUUUUCAUUCCAGUUAUGUUCUCUCUGUGGCAAUGAAUGGAAUGUUUUCAAUCCCCUUUGUCAGGAUAAGUUAUUUCAGCUUAAAGAGAUCUCCCGUGCAAAGCACCAGAAUCUCGUUAAACCUCUCCUGGUAAGGUUUGUUCGGAGGGCUCCUGGUGAGUCAUUCCAUGUCUGGAUCCUAUGAGCUGCGCAUAGACCCAGAGUCAGACAUUGUGAGAGUACCUUUAACUGGAAGAACUCAACCCACAAAAGGACCUUUCUACAAAUACAUGUGUUUUCUAACUAAAAUCUGAAAUCAUGAAAAAUAUAGGAAACAAGCUAGUUUAGCAUUAUUGAAAGUGUUGGUCCUGCAUGAUGUGAUUAAGAAAGGAUAAUUUUAUGAGUUAGUGAGGCUUGAUGGCAUGCGUUUCUUUGUUCUUAUUGUGCUAAAGGAAAAUAAUGAGUUGAUUUCCAGAGAUAUAGCUAAAUGUGGCUGCAAGUGUCUAGCUAUUCAUGUCCCUGCCCAUUUAUUUUCUUUAGAGAUAAUCAAAGCUCUUGUAUACGUUUGCACCAAACAGUAAAUAUGUAAUGAAAAUUUUUUUGAAUCGGUGUCUUUCCUGAAUUUAUUCCCCCAAAAUAUUAUUUCCUGAAGAAAGGAAAAGAUAAACAGAGCAAAAAAUGAAAUAAAGUUAGAGUAAAAACCAUUUUCUUAUUCUGUUUUUCUAUUGCAAUAUCUAAAAGUUGAGAGCUUCAAACAAUUAAGGGAUGAGGGUCCACUGUCACCAGCUUUUGGUAAGUACGCUGAUUCUAUGUUCUAAAAUGCUUGGCAUAAACAACAGGUGAGUAUAAAAUAAAAAAUUAAACCACAUAUUUUCUUUUCUUUUUUUAUUUUUAAACAAAAAAAUUCACAAAAGUGCUGAAUUUAACAUCUAGGAGGCAUUAAGUAAUUACAGGAAAGUCAUAUGUUGCGUUAUAAAGCAAAUAAAAUCUAUGGUGCAAUUUGAUGUCUUCUCAAUAACAUUCACUUGAUAUCAACCACAGUUUACUGUAAACCUUGUCUUAUCAGUAGUCUUCAUUAGAAUACUUUUUCCUAACUCAGAUAACUCCCCCCUUAUCUCUGAGUUAGACCUCUCCUGGGGCCAGUAUGUUCUACUACCAGAACUUCAGGUCAACUUGGCUGUUAAUUUCUCUCCGGGUUGCUCCUCCCAGAUUCUGCCACUUUUCUCCAUUUCAAUCAAAAACAGGGUAAACCGUAUUUUACCAUUUUAAUUUUUUAGCACCUAAGAGCAGUCUGUAACUUUUCCAAAAGUUAAACUUAAAUUUGCUUUCACAAAAACGCUACAGAUUUUUAAUUAUGCCUAAAUCCUUAAAUGGAAGAGAUUCAUUUAGGAAACGCAAUCUUAUAAAAAUGUGUUAGAACCCCCUUUGAGCUGUGCUCACUGCAUACCCAAGAAUACAUGGACUUGCCCAGUGCCCCUAAGGGAAAGGCCCAUGCAAAUGAGGAAAGAUGUGUAAGAACAGCUAUUUUUUUCCAAAGACUUUAGCUUUCUGGGUUUGCCUGCAUUUUAUCAUCUGCUGAUAAAUAUCUGAGUCAAAGGUAGAAAGAAAGACAUGCUGGGGGUACAGGAAAAUUGGGUUAAGUCAGCAACUAGAAAGCUGUGGGUUGUGGUUUUUUGCUUUUCGUCCUUUUGUUGAAGAGGACAAAGGAAUGUGCAUUGAUAGGAAAACCUAAUCCGGGGUAGUGAACUGAAACCCCCCCCUCCCCACAGCUCUCACCUCUCCUGCUGGGGUCGGGGGUGCAGAGAAGAAGGUGAGUGGAGAGAGAAAUGGAAGAUGAGGAGACGAGGGUUUAAAGGGAGGGAGAAGGACAGAAGUGGAUCAAGGGAGAGAAGGAGGGAGGGCAGAAGCCAGAGGGAGAAACAGUAGCCCCACCUAAAACACACCAAAAGCCUCCAAGGAAAGCUUUGAAAAUAAGACCCUGCAGGAAGCACUUUUAGAAACCACAGACUUUUCUUCAAUACAGGGGCAAAUGAGGAGAAAAAAAAAUGCUAAGAACAAGAGGCAUGGAAGACAGAAAAGAGAGGAAGAAGGCCAAACCUCACCUCCUAAUCAUUCUGCCUGAGGUGCUGAAAGCAUUUCUUAAUAAAGUGUGAAGUUUCAGCUGAAUCCAAAUUUCUGGCAUUGGAAGCAAUGCCAGAGCCACUUAUGAAAAAGAAAAUCUUCUCUUUUUCUUAAAGUGAAGAAAAUCCUGUGUUUUCCUACAAGGUCUUCUCCAUCCCAAAUAACCUAGACUCUUCCAUUCAUUUACUGAAAGAGACUGUAACAACAGGAACAGAUGAGGAACUCUCUACAAGGCCAGCCUGACCCACAGUUUACCAGUGUCUUUCAGGAGACCCUAAUGUUCUCAUCCCCAAUCUGGAAGUGCCAUCCCCAAGAACACACAACAGCAACAGCCCCACCCUUCAUCACAAAGCUGUGCAGAACGUCUCAGUGACGUGCUAGUUUUGAACAAUGAUACAAUAGGGUUGUUGCCAACCACAGGGAAAACAGGGAUAUUUAAUAAACAGUGCUGCCAUGAUUGAUAAUCUGCUUGAAAAAAAGAAUAAAGUUAGACUCCUAUUUCACUUUGCUCCAUAUAUGCAAAUAAUCCCAAAUGGAUUUAAAUGCAAUAAAAGAAGAAAAUUUAGAAUUGGGGGUUUAGAAUUGGAAAGACCUUCUCUAAUAAAAUUUUUUAAAACCUAGGAGCCAUUUUUUAAAAAUAGGGAGAGGCAUAUUUGACUAGAUAAACAUUUCAAAAUCUUGUAUUAAAAAAUCACAAAAAAUAAGGUCACUUAUUUGGGCCAAUAAUUUAUUAAAUAACUCCACCUACUGAAUUUGGGUGAUGGUAAUCAUUCAAAAUGGCAAUAAUGGAUCUUAUGUUCUGACUCUGUAAGUAUAGAGUAGAAUAUUAUUAGAGACUGUAAAUCUGGUCCAUGCCUCCCUGCACUGCCAUGGGUCUGAUCACUUGUCUCAGGGUCUUUCACCCCCUGAGUUUCAUGAUUGGCUAUUCUAACAGAUAUGGAGUUCACUGGAGGGCCAAGGAAUCACAUAUCUCUGUUUUAACAUCUCUAAAGUGCUUAGAAUAUAAUAUGAAAAAGUGUUGGGGGGUGUGUGUGGAGGGAUGUGUGUGGGAGUGUGGAUGUGUGGGGGUGGUGUGUGGUGGGUGUGUAGGACGUGUAUGGGGGAAUGUGAGGGGGGUUGUGACUGUGGGGGGUGGGUUGUGUGUGGGUGUGUGUGGGGUGUGGGUGAGUGCGGGGGUGUUGGAUGUGUGGGUGUGUGGAUGGGUGUGUGGGGGUGGGUGUGACUGUGAGGGGGUGUGAGUGUGAGUAUGGGGGGUUGGAUGUGUGGGUGUGGGGGGGCUGGGAGGAGGUGUGGGUGUUGGGGGGUGUAUGCGUGGCGUGUGUGUGUGUGUGUGUGUGUGUGUGUGUGUGUGUGUGAAUUCUUUGUAAUGAAGAAGAAGAGGGAAGAAGCAGUUAAACUUUAAACCAGACAUACUUAUCCUCAAAAUAGUUGUGGUGAUAUUAUACCCUCAUACUUUGUACUACAAAUACAUUUAUUGGUUUGUAAAAUAUAUAAUCAGUUUAUGAAAAUAUCCCUUAUAAGAAGAGUAAGAAAACCAGUAAAAAUGUAAAACAACCACAUGGAAAUUAUGUCUGAUUCCUUCUUCUCCAUUUUAUUUUAUUUUUACCUUUUUUCUUUGAGAUGGAAUCUGACCAUGUUGGCCAGACUGGUCUUGAACUCCUGGGCUCAAGCGAUCCUCCCACCUUGGCCCCCCAAAGUGCUGGGUUUUUAGGUGUCGGCCACUGUGCCCAGCCACCCCCUCUUCCAUUUUAGAAAUGAUGGGUACAGUAAUGCAACCUUGCAAAGGGAUUCCUUCAAGUUUUUCAAUGUUCUUUAAUAAAAUGACAUCAAUUGCUGAAAGCAUUAUGACCUUUGUUAUGC